AAUGAACGCUGGCGGCAUGCCUAACACAUGCAAGUCGAACGAAGGCUUCGGCCUUAGUGGCGCACGGGUGCGUAACGCGUGGGAAUCUGCCCUUGGGUUCGGAAUAACAGCGAGAAAUUGCUGCUAAUACCGGAUGAUGACGUAAGUCCAAAGAUUUAUCGCCCAAGGAUGAGCCCGCGUAGGAUUAGCUAGUUGGUGAGGUAAAGGCUCACCAAGGCGACGANCCUUAGCUGGUCUGAGAGGAUGAUCAGCCACACUGGGACUGAGACACGGCCCAGACUCCUACGGGAGGCAGCAGUGGGGAAUAUUGGACAAUGGGCGAAAGCCUGAUCCAGCAAUGCCGCGUGAGUGAUGAAGGCCUUAGGGUUGUAAAGCCCUUUACCGGGAUGAUAAUGACAGUACCGGGAGAAUAAGCUCCGGCUAACUCCGUGCCAGCCGCCGCAGUAAU
rnacentral:rRNA from 1 species